UUUGGUGGAGGCACCCAGCUCAUCGUUGAUUUGGGAGUGGUGCAGCCCACGCUGAGCGUCCUCCCUCCCUCCAGAGUGGAGCUGGAGCAGGGCAGUGCUACACUAGUGUGUGUGGCCAGUGGGGGCUUCCCCUCAGACUGGAAGCUUGGCUGGAAGGUGGGGGGCAGCAGCAGGUCUGGGGGGGUGUCUGAUAGCCUGGGGGUCCUGGGGAAAGAUGGCCACUACAGCUGGACCAGCACCUUGACCCUCCCUGCAGACCAAUGGAGGAAGGCGGGCUCAGUGAGCUGUGAGGCCAGUAAGAAUGGCCAGACGCAGCCUGUCACUCAAACCCUGAAUCCUGGAGAGUGUUCAGAGUAGAGAGGCUCCAGCAUGGAGGUACUGGAGGAUACAGAUCUCCUCUGACACGUCUGCUU